UAUUGUUGCCAUUGAGAACCCUGCUGA
rnacentral:piRNA from 1 species